rnacentral:rRNA from 1 species
UGAGGAAUAUUGCGCAAUGGGGGCAACCCUGACGCAGCGACGCCGCGUGAGUGAGGAAGGCCUUCGGGUCGUAAAGCUCUGUCAAAGGGAAAGAAGUGCAUGGUGGCUAAUACCUGCCAUGUUUGACGGUACCCUUAAAGGAAGCACCGGCUAACUCCGUGCCAGCAGCCGCGGUAAUACGGAGGGUGCAAGCGUUGUUCGGAAUCACUGGGCGUAAAGGGCGCGUAGGCGGUUUGAUAAGUCAGAUGUGAAAGCCCACGGCUUAACUGUGGAAGUGCAUUUGAAACUGUCAGACUUGAGUAUCAGAGGGGAAAGUGGAAUUCCCGGUGUAGAGGUGAAAUACGUAGAGAUCGGGAGGAACACCAGCGGCGCAGGCGGCUCACUAGACAGUUUCUGACGCUAAGAUACGAAAGCGUGGGGAGCAAACA